rnacentral:tRNA from 1 species
AAAAAGUUAGUUACAAAUAUAACAUUAGAUUGUCAAUUUAAAAUUACUAUUAUAUAGUACUUUUUA